GUAGGGAAUAUUGGGCAAUGGAUGCAAGUCUGACCCAGCCAUCCCGCGUGCCGGAAGAAGGCCCUCAGGGUUGUAAACGGCUUUUGACGGUGAAGAAUCGACAGGAUGCGUCCUGUUUUGACGGUAGCCGUUGAAUAAGCACCGGCUAACUCCGUGCCAGCAGCCGCGGUAAUACGGAGGGUGCGAGCGUUGUCCGGAUUUAUUGGUUUUAAAGGGUGCGUAGGCUGGAAGGUCAGUCAGCGGUGAAAAGCUGUCGCUUAACGAUAGUCUUGCCGCAGAUACUUCCUUUCUUAGAUGAGGAGGAGGCCACUGGAACGGAUGGUGUAGCGGUGAAAUGCAUAGAUAUCAUCCAGAACACCGAUUGCGAAGGCAGGUGGCUGUACCUUAAUCGACGCUGAUGCACGAAAGCAUGGGGAGCAAACAGGAUUAGAAACCCCUGUAGUCC
rnacentral:rRNA from 1 species